rnacentral:rRNA from 1 species
UGGUGGAGUGAUUUGUCUGGUUAAUUCCGUUAACGAACGAGACCACGGCUCUAUAAUACGCGCGGGUAUUUCACGAUACCUAGUGGGUUCUUUAGAGGACAAUUCGUUUCCAACGGAUGGAAGUUCGUGGCAAUAACA